rnacentral:rRNA from 1 species
UUAAGCGACUAAGCGUACACGGUGGAUGCCCUGGCAGUCAGAGGCGAUGAAGGACGUGCUAAUCUGCGAUAAGCGUCGGUAAGGUGAUAUGAACCGUUAUAACCGGCGAUUUCCGAAUGGGGAAACCCAGUGUGUUUCGACACACUAUCAUUAACUGAAUCCAUAGGUUAAUGAGGCGAACCGGGGGAACUGAAACAUCUAAGUACCCCGAGGAAAAGAAAUCAACCGAGAUUCCCCCAGUAGCGGCGAGCGAACGGGGAGCAGCCCAGAGCCUGAAUCAGUGUGUGUGUUAGUGGAAGCGUCUGGAAAGGCGCGCGAUACAGGGUGACAGCCCCGUACACAAAAAUGCACAUGCUGUGAGCUCGAUGAGUAGGGCGGGACACGUGGUAUCCUGUCUGAAUAUGGGGGGACCAUCCUCCAAGGCUAAAUACUCCUGACUGACCGAUAGUGAACCAGUACCGUGAGGGAAAGGCGAAAAGAACCCCGGCGAGGGGAGUGAAAAAGAACCUGAAACUGUGUACGUACAAGCAGUGGGAGCACGCUUAGGCGUGUGACUGCGUACCUUUUGUAUAAUGGGUCAGCGACUUAUAUUCUGUAGCAAGGUUAACCGAAUAGGGGAGCCGAAGGGAAACCGAGUCUUAACUGGGCGUUAAGUUGCAGGGUAUAGACCCGAAACCCGGUGAUCUAGCCAUGGGCAGGUUGAAGGUUGGGUAACACUAACUGGAGGACCGAACCGACUAAUGUUGAAAAUUAGCGGAUGACUUGUGGCUGGGGGUGAAAGGCCAAUCAAACCGGGAGAUAGCUGGUUCUCCCCGAAAGCUAUUUAGGUAGCGCCUCGUGAAUUCAUCUCCGGGGGUAGAGCACUGUUUCGGCAAGGGGGUCAUCCCGACUUACCAACCCGAUGCAAACUGCGAAUACCGGAGAAUGUUAUCACGGGAGACACACGGCGGGUGCUAACGUCCGUCGUGAAAGAGGGAAACAACCCAGACCGCCAGCUAAGGUCCCAAAGUCAUGGUUAAGUGGGAAACGAUGUGGGAAGGCCCAGACAGCCAGGAUGUUGGCUUAGAAGCAGCCAUCAUUUAAAGAAAGCGUAAUACCUCACUGGUCGAGUCGGCCUGCGCGGAAGAUGUAACGGGGCUAAACCAUGCACCGAAGCUGCGGCAGCGACGCUGAUGCGUUGUUGGGUAGGGAGCGUUCUGUAAGCCUGUGAAGGUGUACUGUGAGGUAUGCUGGAGGUAUCAGAAGUGCGAAUGCUGACAUAAGUAACGAUAAAGCGGGUGAAAAGCCCGCUCGCCGGAAGACCAAGGGUUCCUGUCCAACGUUAAUCGGGGCAGGGUGAGUCGACCCCUAAGGCGAGGCCGAAAGGCGUAGUCGAUGGGAAACAGGUUAAUAUUCCUGUACUUGGUGUUACUGCGAAGGGGGGACGGAGAAGGCUAUGUUGGCCGGGCGACGGUUGUCCCGGUUUAAGCGUGUAGGCUGGUUUUCCAGGCAAAUCCGGAAAAUCAAGGCUGAGGCGUGAUGACGAGGCACUACGGUGCUGAAGCAACAAAUGCCCUGCUUCCAGGAAAAGCCUCUAAGCAUCAGGUAACAUCAAAUCGUACCCCAAACCGACACAGGUGGUCAGGUAGAGAAUACCAAGGCGCUUGAGAGAACUCGGGUGAAGGAACUAGGCAAAAUGGUGCCGUAACUUCGGGAGAAGGCACGCUGAUAUGUAGGUGAGGUCCCUCGCGGAUGGAGCUGAAAUCAGUCGAAGAUACCAGCUGGCUGCAACUGUUUAUUAAAAACACAGCACUGUGCAAACACGAAAGUGGACGUAUACGGUGUGACGCCUGCCCGGUGCCGGAAGGUUAAUUGAUGGGGUUAGCGCAAGCGAAGCUCUUGAUCGAAGCCCCGGUAAACGGCGGCCGUAACUAUAACGGUCCUAAGGUAGCGAAAUUCCUUGUCGGGUAAGUUCCGACCUGCACGAAUGGCGUAAUGAUGGCCAGGCUGUCUCCACCCGAGACUCAGUGAAAUUGAACUCGCUGUGAAGAUGCAGUGUACCCGCGGCAAGACGGAAAGACCCCGUGAACCUUUACUAUAGCUUGACACUGAACAUUGAGCCUUGAUGUGUAGGAUAGGUGGGAGGCUUAGAAGUGUGGACGCCAGUCUGCAUGGAGCCGACCUUGAAAUACCACCCUUUAAUGUUUGAUGUUCUAACGUUGACCCGUAAUCCGGGUUGCGGACAGUGUCUGGUGGGUAGUUUGACUGGGGCGGUCUCCUCCUAAAGAGUAACGGAGGAGCACGAAGGUUGGCUAAUCCUGGUCGGACAUCAGGAGGUUAGUGCAAUGGCAUAAGCCAGCUUGACUGCGAGCGUGACGGCGCGAGCAGGUGCGAAAGCAGGUCAUAGUGAUCCGGUGGUUCUGAAUGGAAGGGCCAUCGCUCAACGGAUAAAAGGUACUCCGGGGAUAACAGGCUGAUACCGCCCAAGAGUUCAUAUCGACGGCGGUGUUUGGCACCUCGAUGUCGGCUCAUCACAUCCUGGGGCUGAAGUAGGUCCCAAGGGUAUGGCUGUUCGCCAUUUAAAGUGGUACGCGAGCUGGGUUUAGAACGUCGUGAGACAGUUCGGUCCCUAUCUGCCGUGGGCGCUGGAGAACUGAGGGGGGCUGCUCCUAGUACGAGAGGACCGGAGUGGACGCAUCACUGGUGUUCGGGUUGUCAUGCCAAUGGCACUGCCCGGUAGCUAAAUGCGGAAGAGAUAAGUGCUGAAAGCAUCUAAGCACGAAACUUGCCCCGAGAUGAGUUCUCCCUGACUCCUUGAGAGUCCUGAAGGAACGUUGAAGACGACGACGUUGAUAGGCCGGGUGUGUAAGCGCAGCGAUGCGUUGAGCUAACCGGUACUAAUGAACCGUGAGGCUUAACCUU